rnacentral:lncRNA from 1 species
UCAGAGCAAGUCCUGCCAAGAAAAUGAGGAAAAGGUUUGUUCUGAAGUCUCCUUCCUAAUAUAUAUAUAGAUAUACAGAUAUAGAUAUGCAGGCCAUGCAGCAGUUGAGCAGUAGAAUUUAUUCCUAUACUUUUCCAUUCUAGAAUCAAGUACUCAGGAUCACAGUGUAAAUAAGACAACCAGUCUAUGGGAGUGGAAUGGCACACAAGAUAAACACUAAUAAACUCCUUUUCAGAACAAGCUGGCGCAAAGAUGUGGCAAAAAUAACCAAGAGUGAGAAAUAAAACAAUGUAGACUAUGGAUCAGCCUUUCCGAUGGGGUGCUGUUGGCAGUUUAACUACAGAGCUUUCCUUUGCAGCUAUAUCCCAGCUUGUGACAGUUAAGCUUGUCAAGAUAUCUAGUCACUAAUGGAACAUAGAUAAUUAUCCAAAUGAGUCUCCUUGCAAGUUCAUCUGUAGUAGAAAAGACAUUUAUGUAUAUAAGCCAACAGAGCAGCAGGGGAAAACCUAUUCCUUGAAUGGCCGACUCCAAGUUUUACUCAAGAAAUCAGUGUCUCAGAGGGAAAACAGCAUAAAUAAGCACAAUCUUCAAAUCGCUCAGACUUACCCCAGCAGCAAAGAAGCCUUUUGACAGAACAGCUCUUGCCCUGGAAGACUGGCUGGUAUCCUCUGAGUCUCUGCAGCUCCUAGGACUCAAGGUAUUAUCCCUAUGUUGUUAGGAUAUUUAGAUGUUGGUCUUUCCCAUCUCAUUCUGAGCUCUCGUGCACAGUGGUGUGUUAUUUAAUGUCUGGUUAAGAUCCACUUUGUCAAAAUAACUCAAGAUUGCAGUGUGAGACUCAAAU